AUGCGCAUGCGCAGCUUGUAGGCUGCCUGCCUGGCAGUGCCAUAGCAACCAGGGCAGACAUCAACAUGCAGGCCAAAGCAACGACAGUGAGAGAAGCACUGGCUAAGUGGGAGGAAAAGUCAGGGGAGAAAGCGGGUGAGACUAAAGCCGUCAGACUGUAUGGUCAGGUUCCUCCUAUAGAGAAGAUGGACCCCUCCCUCUCUACGCUCACCAACUGCGAGUGAGUACCGCAGAGCUCGACAUUAUAAAUGGCCCGCUGGCCCG